GACGAACGCUGGCGGCAUGCCUAAUACAUGCAAGUCGAGCGAACAGAUGAAGUGCUUGCACUUCUGACGUUAGCGGCGAACGGGUGAGUAACACGUAAGGAAUCUACCUAUAAGCGGGGGAUAACAUUCGGAAACGGGUGCUAAUACCGCAUAAUAUCUUCUUCCGCAUGGAAGAAGAUUGAAAGACGGCUCUGCUGUCACUUAUAGAUGACCUUGCGGUGCAUUAGUUAGUUGGUGGGGUAACGGCCUACCAAGACGAUGAUGCAUAGCCGACCUGAGAGGGUGAUCGGCCACAUUGGGGCUGAGACACGGCCCAAACUCCUACGGGAGGCAGCAGUAGGGAAUCUUCCGCAAUGGGCGAAGGCCUGACGGAGCAAUGCCGCGUGAGUGAAGAAGGCCUUCGGGUCGUAAAACUCUGUUAUAAGAGAAGAACAAAUUGUAGAGUAACUGCUACAGUCUUGACGGUAUCUUAUCAGAAAGCCACGGCUAACUACGUGCCAGCCGCCGCCGUAA
rnacentral:rRNA from 1 species